rnacentral:rRNA from 1 species
GGUUAAGCGACUAAGCGUACACGGUGGAUGCCCUGGCAGUCAGAGGCGAUGAAGGACGUGCUAAUCUGCGAUAAGCGUCGGUAAGGUGAUAUGAACCGUUAUAACCGGCGAUUUCCGAAUGGGGAAACCCAGUGUGUUUCGACACACUAUCAUUAACUGAAUCCAUAGGUUAAUGAGGCGAACCGGGGGAACUGAAACAUCUAAGUACCCCGAGGAAAAGAAAUCAACCGAGAUUCCCCCAGUAGCGGCGAGCGAACGGGGAGGAGCCCAGAGCCUGAAUCAGUGUGUGUGUUAGUGGAAGCGUCUGGAAAGGCGCGCGAUACAGGGUGACAGCCCCGUACACAAAAAUGCACAUACUGUGAGCUCGAUGAGUAGGGCGGGACACGUGGUAUCCUGUCUGAAUAUGGGGGGACCAUCCUCCAAGGCUAAAUACUCCUGACUGACCGAUAGUGAACCAGUACCGUGAGGGAAAGGCGAAAAGAACCCCGGCGAGGGGAGUGAAAAAGAACCUGAAACCGUGUACGUACAAGCAGUGGGAGCCUCUUUUAUGGGGUGACUGCGUACCUUUUGUAUAAUGGGUCAGCGACUUAUAUUCUGUAGCAAGGUUAACCGAAUAGGGGAGCCGAAGGGAAACCGAGUCUUAACUGGGCGUUAAGUUGCAGGGUAUAGACCCGAAACCCGGUGAUCUAGCCAUGGGCAGGUUGAAGGUUGGGUAACACUAACUGGAGGACCGAACCGACUAAUGUUGAAAAAUUAGCGGAUGACUUGUGGCUGGGGGUGAAAGGCCAAUCAAACCGGGAGAUAGCUGGUUCUCCCCGAAAGCUAUUUAGGUAGCGCCUCGUGAAUUCAUCUCCGGGGGUAGAGCACUGUUUCGGCAAGGGGGUCAUCCCGACUUACCAACCCGAUGCAAACUGCGAAUACCGGAGAAUGUUAUCACGGGAGACACACGGCGGGUGCUAACGUCCGUCGUGAAGAGGGAAACAACCCAGACCGCCAGCUAAGGUCCCAAAGUCAUGGUUAAGUGGGAAACGAUGUGGGAAGGCCCAGACAGCCAGGAUGUUGGCUUAGAAGCAGCCAUCAUUUAAAGAAAGCGUAAUAGCUCACUGGUCGAGUCGGCCUGCGCGGAAGAUGUAACGGGGCUAAACCAUGCACCGAAGCUGCGGCAGCGACACUAUGUGUUGUUGGGUAGGGGAGCGU